ACCCCGGCCGGGGCUCCCUGUGGCUUCCGUGCCGGUGAGGGGACUCAAACCGGCCUAGGGAAGGUAGCGGGAUCAGUGAGACACUGCCGGCACAGCCACAUCAACCUUCCCCUGGCAAGAUGAGUGGUUUGCUCCAAAGCUCUUCCAUAUGUAGUCUAAGACAGAUACAUCCAGAAUAUCAUGACUUUUCUGCCAGUCUUUUUCUGUGCGAAAAGGCAGGAUAUGCUGUUUAACUACAAGGAAAGGAGUAAAGUGCAGAGCCCUCAAAAGAGCAUACACCUGUGGAUGUCGAGCUGUCCACUCUUUUUCAGGUGGGAGUCAAUUGCAUUGUAGUUGGCAGGAUUCCUGAGCCAGACACAAAACAACUGGAGAGACCCUUUUUGGAACGGAGGCACCUUCCAGAUAUUCCUAUCUUUCCUGAUGCACUUAACACAAAAAUGUUCUCCCAGAAUAUGCCUUUUCCCCUAUCACAUUACUCUUAGCUUACACAGAGGUUUUGUUUAGAUUGCUAAAACAAGCAUUUUUGCAGUCUCUGCCUGUUCUUUCAGAAUCAGAACUUCCACACAUCAAUAUAGGGGGGCUGACUCUACUGCAGGGGCUCUUUAACUCCCAGCUACUUCAGCAAGAAUGCCCAGAGCAACCUAAUGCAGACACACAUUGAAAAGUGCUGAGAAUCUUCUGAGUGAAGUGGAAGUGGACUGGUAAUAACAGAUAGUCCCAUUUGUCCUGUGAGUGAGGAGGGUGAAAAAGUUGCUGGAAUACCGAGUACAGUGACUGUUUCACGUGUCCACUAAUGAAUACUUCCAUCUGCCACCCUGAAAGAGCAGAGAAGCCUUUCCUUUGCAAUAAAAACCUUGUAAAGUGUU